CACGGCCGGUACUGGCUCGGCGACAGCAUAGUCGACACGGCCAGUACGCCCACUCUCUCCCAGCUUCGGGUAAGGACCACUGACUCGACCCCGCCCAUACUUCCACGGCCCGAGAUUUCAGUGGCCAGCAUGCAUGCAUUCCAGGUUAUUUCUGUUUCAUUCGUCGGUUGUUUACGUACCUUUGUUUCGCAUUUUGACUUUGGGGUGAAAUCUUGUAGGCCCGGCUUGACAAAGAGAAGAGACUGCGGCAGGAGUUGGAAGAGAGGUUGGAGCAGGAGCGGAAGCUGAGGGAGGAGCAAGACCAAAGGUACGCCACCAUGUUCGCCUACAUGCAAGGUCUAGGUGCAUCGAUAAACUAUCAACCGCCGCCAACAAUGCCGUGGCCUCCGCCAACUGCACCUCCACCACAGUUGCUCGGCACACCGAUGGUAUUUCCUAGUGCAGUCACCCCCAAUCUAUCGGGGGUGGCAUCGAAUGAGCCUCCGGAUCAGCACUCCCCGGCGUCGCAGUGGCCAGGUUCAAGAUCUGAGCAGAGAUGAUUAAGGUAUCGUUCAGUUGUCAAGUGUGCGUUGUACUAUGGUUGUUAGACUGCCGGAUGUUGGACUUGUAGCUGUUGGACUUGUCGAUGUUGGAAUAAUGCUUGUACUAUGGAUUAUGAAUGCUUUGUGGACUAAAUUUGAACAUUAUGUGAUAUUUGUGAUAUAAAUGCGAUGUUUGUGA